UACGUAGGCAGCAAGCGUUGUUCGGAGUUACUGGGCGUAAAGAGUGCGUAGGUGGUGCCCUAAGUCUGUUGUGAAAUCUCCCGGCUUAACUGGGAGGGUGCGGUGGAAACUGGGGUGCUUGAGUGUGGGAGAGGUAAGCGGAAUUCCUGGUGUAGCGGUGAAAUGCGUAGAUAUCAGGAGGAACACCAAUAGCGAAGGCAGCUCGCUGGGACGGUACUGACGCUAAGGCGCGAAAGCGUGGGGAGCAAACAGG
rnacentral:rRNA from 1 species